GCACUUUGUGAACCCUUUGACAUUUCUCUUUUAAUUAGCAUGCCUGAGAAUUGGUGAGCGGAUCUCAGUACACCUAUUUUGACAGUCUGGAUUACAGGAACAACAGUGUCCUCACUUGAAUUUAGUGAGCUUUCUAGUCACUGCAAAUAACAAAAGCCAGCUUAAACAUAGAACCAAUGAGAAGCAGAUGAAAAUUGGCAGUUUUCCAGGAAAGCCUCAGACAAAAGAAGCACUGCAUAUUUCAGCUUGCUCUACUGGCCACAAUAUUGCCCUAAUAACAAGAGAACCCAGUGAUCCAAGGAAGA